rnacentral:tRNA from 1 species
GGGAAUGUAGCUUAAUGGUAGAGUGCUUGCCUUCCAUGCACGAAGCCUGGGUUCAAUUUCUCAGCACCA